rnacentral:rRNA from 1 species
CGUGCAGGUGGUUUUUUAAGUUUCGUGUGAAAUCCCAUGGCUUAACCAUGGAACGGCACGGAAAACUGGAAGGCUUGAGUACGGGAGAAGAGGGCGGAAUUCCCAGUGUAGAGGUGAAAUUCGUAGAUAUUGGGAGGAACACCGGUGGCGAAAGCGGCUCUCUAGACCGAUACUGACGCUCAUACGCGAGAGCGUGGGUAGCAAACAGGAUUAGAUACCCUGGUAGUCCACGCUGUAAACGAUGGAUGCUAGGUGUUCGGGGAGUUGACCCCCCGAGUGCCGAAGCCAACGCAUUAAGCAUCCCGCCUGGGAAGUACGGUCGCAAGACUAAA